AUACGGAGGAUCCAAGCGUUAUCCGGAUUUAUUGGGUUUAAAGGGAGCGUAGGCGGCUUGUUAAGUCAGGGGUGAAAGACGGUGGCUCAACCAUCGCAGUGCCUUUGAUACUGACGAGCUUGAAUAUAGUUGAGGUAGGCGGAAUGUGACAAGUAGCGGUGAAAUGCAUAGAUAUGUCACAGAACACCGAUUGCGAAGGCAGCUUACUAAGCUAUUAUUGACGCUGAGGCUCGAAAGCGUGGGGAUCAAACAGGAUUAGAUACCCUGGUAGUCCACGCCCUAAACGAUGACAACUCGAUGUUGGCGAUAUACAGUCAGCGUCCAAGCGAAAGCGUUAAGUUAUCCACCUGGGGAGUACGCCCGCAAGGGUGGAACUCAAAGGAAUUGACGGGG
rnacentral:rRNA from 1 species